GGGUUAAGUCCCGCAACGAGCGCAACCCUCGCCUUAGUUGCCAGCAUUCAGUUGGGCACUCUAAAGGGACCUGCCGGUGUCAAACCGGAGGAAGGUGGGGAUGACGUCAAGUCCUCAUGGCCUUUAUGUCUAGGGCUACACACGUACUACAAUGGCAGGUACAAAGGGCAGCGACACAGCGAUGUGAUGCGAAUCCCGAAAAGCCUGUCUCAGUCCGGAUCGGAGUCUGCAACUCGACUCCGUGAAGUUGGAAUCGCUAGUAAUCGUGGAUCAGCAUGCCACGGUGAAUACGUUCCCGGGCCUU
rnacentral:rRNA from 1 species